GAUACCGAUAUUUUUUCAUCAGCCUUAGCCGAUACGCGAUACCGAUUUUCUUGAGCCGAUAUUUAGAGCCGAUACUGCUUUUGCUCCCUCAAUCAUAAAAAUUACACUGAUAACAAAUGUUACAAGUCUCAAUUUAAAAAAAGGAACAUUUAUUGAACUUCAAUAUAAAAAACUAUAUUUAACAAAUAGUAAAAACAGGUGAGGUAGAACAAGUAAAAAAAAAAAGAAAAAAAAA